rnacentral:lncRNA from 1 species
AAUAUCUAUAUUAUCUCCCAAACCCAUAGUAUUAGCAAAGGCUUCCUCCUCUUUCUUUAUUUGUUCAUAAGCAUCAACUGGAUCCUCUACACCCUCACAAGUUGCUCUAUCCUUACCAAAUGCAAUUGACAAGUCAUCAUGUUGGGGGGAAAUUUGUCACUUAGGCUAAAGACAUGGAUUAGUAGAAGGACAGAUGAUAUGAUAGAAAAGGUCG